ACAUGCUUCCCAGCUGGGGUCUGUGGGGAGACAAUGGGGGACGGGAAAGCAGAAUAGGAAACGAAGAGAUCCAGGAGCCAUCACCAAGUUAGCCCCUCAGCAUUGACAAUGACACUACUCAGCACAGAUCUCCCACAGAGAAGCAGGGCUGCAGAAACUAGCCAUAUCGCACCCUGCCUCGGUUUCCUUGUCGUACACAAGGACUGCAGCGUCUGCCGGAGAGGCCUGUGAGGAGGACCAAGUGAGUAAAGGUGUGGAAGGUAGCGAAGGAAUCUCUGACUUGCUUAUUGACACGCCACUCACUGAGGACCAAGAAGGAGCCUUCUAAACACAAGGCGGGAACAAGGAAGCCUGCUCGAACGGGAUUCUGUGGGAUGGGACGGAUUCGAAGUCGUGUCCUGCCCUGUUAGCAGCUGUCCAGGUCUGGAUGUAGAACUCUCAGCUGGCUCUUUCAGGACCAUGUCUGCCUGCACGCUGUCAUGCUCCCUGCUGUCACACUCCCUGCUUUGAUAAUGGACUACACCUCUGAAACUGGAAGCCACUUCCAAUUAAAUGUUGCUGUGUCAUGGUGUCUCCUCGCAGAAAGACCAUCAUCAAGUGGCUGUUUAGCUUCGACAUGCGAUUUUAAGAAUCGUGUGGAAAUACACGAAGCAAAGUAGGCCACUUCUGCCACUUUCUGUCAUGCAGCCUGUGGCAUCUCACUGCCAUCCUCUUCAGAACUUCACCACCUCAAAUUCAGCCCCACGCAGCUAAGCACACCCGGCUUCUGGUGCCCAGGCCCCAGUAGCCACUGUCUCGUUCUCCAAGUCUACAAGUUUCACCAGCCCAGGUCUUCCAGCAUUUCUUCUUUUGUGUCUGGCUUACUGCACUUAAUCUAAUGUAUUCUUUUUGAGAAAUGA